UCUGAGAGUACUGUCNGUAUUGACGGUAUUUAACCAGAAAGCCACGGCUANUACGUGCCAGCAGCCGCGGUAAUACGUAGGUNGCAAGCGUUGUCCGGGAUUUAUUGGGCGUAAAGCGAGCGCAGGCGGUUUUUUAAGUCUGAUGUGAAAGCUUCGGCUCAACCGAAGAAGUGCAUCGGAAACUGGGAAACUUGAGUGCAGAAGAGGACAGUGGAACUCCAUGUGUAGCGGUGAAAUGCGUAGAUAUAUGGAAGAACACCAGUGGCGAAGGCGGCUGUCUGGUCUGUAACUGACGCUGAGGCUCGAAAGUAUGGGUAGCAAACAGGAUUAGAUACCCUGGUAGUCCAUACCGUAAACGAUGAAUGCUAAGUGUUGGAGGGUUUCCGCCCUUCAGUGCUGCAGCUAACGCAUUAAGCAUUCCGCCUGGGGAGUACGGCCGCAAGGCUGAAACUCAAAGGAAUUGACGGGGGCCCGCACAAGCGGUGGAGCAUGUGGUUUAAUUCGAAGCUACGCGAAGAACCUUACCAGGUCUUGACAUACUAUGCAAAUCUAAGAGAUUAGACGUUCCCUUCGGGGACAUGGAUACAGGUGGUGCAUGGUUGUCGUCAGCUCGUGUCGUGAGAUGUUGGG
rnacentral:rRNA from 2 species